AUUGAACGCUGGCGGCAGGCCUAACACAUGCAAGUCGAACGAGUGGCGGACGGGUGAGUAAUGUCUGGGAAACUGCCCGAUGGAGGGGGAUAACUACUGGAAACGGUAGAUAAUACCGCAUACCAUCGGAUGUGCCCAGAUGGGAUUAGCGUGUAGGUGAGGUAACGGCUCACCUAGGCGACGAUCCCUAGCUGGUCUGAGAGGGUGACCAGCCACACGGGAACUGAGACACGGUGCAGACUACGACGGGAGGCAGCAUUGGGGAAUAUUGCACUAUGGGCGUAAGCCUGAUGCAGCCAUGCCGCGUGUAUUAAGAAGGCCUUCGGGUUGUAAAGUACUUUCAGCGGUGAGGCGUUACCCGCAGAAGAAGCACCGGCUAACUCCGUGCCAGCAGCCGCGGUAAUAC
rnacentral:rRNA from 1 species